rnacentral:lncRNA from 1 species
GAGGACACCGGGAGUUCCUUCUACCCUGUAAAGCGUUUUCUGUUUUUGCACCUGGCUGCCUAGGACUGUCCUCAGGCAGUAAACAAAUCCAGAGAGCAGGUAUAAGACCUCUUGAACAUGUCGAAGCAGCCAAUUUCCAACGUCAGAUCCAUUCAGGCCAAUAUUAAUAUUCCAAUGGGAGCCUUUCGUCCGGGAGCUGGGCAGCCUCCCAGAAGGAAAGAGAGUACCCCUGGAACUGCGGAGGGAGCACCUGCUACUCCCGAGGAAAAGAAGCCAGUUCCUGGAAUGAAGAAAUUCCCAGGACCCGUCGUCAACCUGUCUGAGAUCCAAAACGUUAAAAGUGAACUAAAAUACGUCCCCAAAGGUGAACAGUAGUUCAAAGGGGUCAGAAGCCUCAAGAAAAAAAAAGAAGUGUAAUGAGAGCAAACAAGAGAAACCCCAUCGAACUACACACCUGGCUUGACGUGCUUUCUCAAUGGAAAAAACAAUGGGUUGAAAUAAACAACUUCAUGAGAAUUUU